GUGACAGCCGCCGCGGUAAUACGUAGGGGGCAAGCGUUGUCCGGAUUUAUUGGGCGUAAAGCGUCCGCAGGCGGUCUAUCAAGUUCGGGGUGACAGUGCUCGGCUUAACCGAGUAAGCGCUUCGAAAACUGGUGGACUUGAGGGCUUCAGAGGAAGGCGGAAUUCCGGGUGGAGUGGUGAAAUGCGUAGAUAUCCGGAGGAACACCGAUGGCGUAGGCAGCCUUCUGGGAAGCAUCUGACGCUCAGGGACGAAAGCCAGGGGAGCGAACGGGAUUAGAAACCCCCGUAAUCC
rnacentral:rRNA from 1 species